rnacentral:tRNA from 1 species
GCGACACUAGCUCAGUUGGUAGAGCGCAACCUUGCCAAGGUUGAGGUCACGAGUUAUGUGUCGUUCCA